UAGUCUCUUUCAAUUUUUUUAAUGUUGGCCGUGGCUCUCUACAUUGAUUUCACAUCAAUUACAUCAGUGGCUUGCGACCCUCCGUUGGCGAAACAACGUCGUGGGCAACUCCCUGGAAGACCAGAGGGGGUUUUCAGCGCAGCUGUACGGGCACGAGUGUCGGUGGCUUCCUGGGCUCUCCAGCGCCUGCUGUUGAUUUUCCACACAGAGGGGAAAUGCCGAUGUUCUAAAUCAUGGGAAGUCGCACACUUACAACAACAACAAUGACCAGGCACUGCAGGUCACCGCCUAACCCUCGCUAGGGCCCCAUGAGUGAAAAAUCAGCUCUUCUUAGGUCUCGGGCCUGCCGGCUUUUGGACUGGAACUACCCAUCGGCCACCUGGAUCUCCCGUGUGUCCACUGAAGAUCGUGGGACUUCUCAGCCUCUGUAAUCAUGUGGGCCGAUUCCUUAUAAUAAUCUCUUUAUACAUAUGUCUCUCUGUGUGUAGGUGUGUGCACAUAUGCAGAUCUGUGUAUGCAUGUGUGUAUGUCUGUGUGUGUGUGUUCUUGGUUCUGUUUCUCUGGAGAACCCUGGCUAGUAAGUAAUUUCCCCAGUUGCCACCUUCCUCAGCUUACCCUUUGUAUUACUGUUUUCUUAACGUUUUCCUUUAAAUUGACUUACUUAUUUUGUAGUAGGUUCUCGAGGGAACUUGGUAUCUGUGCUUGAAAUUGAAAACCACUAUCACUUACCAUGAACAGUUGCUGAAGAACAUUGUGCCCCGUGGGUUGUCACUGUGGCUGGUGAAGCUCAGCCUCGGAGGCCUGCUCUCCUUCUCUGUUAAGUAGGGAGAUUAGCACGUGUUGGUGUUAAAGACAGACGAGCAACUAAGAGGGCUGCAACAUCAGGAAAGUUCUCACCAGGUGAUUUACGAUUUCAGGCCUUAUGCUUCUCUCAUGGGCAGGAGCAGUGGCUGAUCCCAGCCCCGUGAGCCGACCUAUAGCCUCGGCUUCCCUCAAAGGUGGAGGUCAGGAGAAGGCCAGGCAAUGAUU